rnacentral:rRNA from 1 species
GAUGAACGCUAGCGGCAGGCUUAAUACAUGCAAGUCGAGGGGCAACAGUGGUAGCAAUACCAGCUGGCGACCGGCAAACGGGUGCGCAACACGUACAGAACCUUCCUUUAAGCGGGGAUAGCCCACUAGAAAUAGUGGAUUAAUACCCCACUGGUAUUGAUGUGUGGCAUCACAUAUUAAUUAAAGAUUAUUCACUUAAAGAAUGGCUGUGCGUCUGANAGGUUAGUUGGUGUAGGUAACGGCUCACCAAGACCAACCGAUCAGUAACUGGUGUGAGAGCACGACCAGUCACACGGGCACUGAGACACGGCCCGACCUCUACGGGAGGCAGCAGUAAGGAAUAUUGGUCAAUGGAGGC